UAGAGACUUGACGCAGGGAGAUCAAGUAAGUAGCCAUUACUUACAACAGUCUAGAAGACAGGAAAAUUAGGACUGGCUAUGUGAAUAGAGAGAAAGGGUAGAAUGUGAAAGAUAUCAUGAAGAUAGAAAAAGCAAGAUUUGGCAAUUGAUCAAAUAUGUUGAGUAAGGUGAUAUCAACAGUACCAGUCCCAGAAAAAGGAAGAAUCACGGUACCUUCAAUAGAAAUAAGACAAUUUGGAAGAGGGAUUAUUUGGAAUGCUACUUGCUGUACAGCAUGAGGAAUUUCAGGAGGAGAUCAGCACUGAAGUGAGGGACAGCUGAAAGGUGAAUCUUCAAAAUAAAAGAAAAUAAGAAAAGAGAAGCAACUAGAUGGAGCAGUGGAUAGAAUGCCAGCCCUGGAAUCAGGAAGAUCUGACUUCAAAUCUGUUUUCAGGUACUUGACACUUAAUAGCUGUGUAACUCACUUAACCCCAACUGCUUCGCUUCCCCCUACCCCUACCAUAGAAAAAGAUAAUAAAAAAAUUUUUUUUGCCAUGUGCACAGAAGAACAUAAGAGAGGAUUCAAAUAUAAAGCAAUAACUGUCCAUUUCAAGAAAGUUAUACAAUAAAUACUAGUCAUUAUAUUUAAAACUAUCCAUUUUUUCUUUGCUUCCUUGUAGGUUUUUUUCUCUGUUGUGUACUUUUUACUUUAUUCUCCCCCUCCCCUGUACACACACCCCUACAUAUACAAACAUCUGCAUACAUAUACAUACAUAGCUAUAUACAUUCAUAUCUAUCUGGGUAAUUAUGCUUAUUUAUCCUUUGUUUCUCUGAAAGUGAGUAACAUCUUCUUAAGUCCAAGUCCUUCCAUAUUUUUCUAACUCUGCCAACUCAUCAUAACCUAUACCAUAGCAAUAUUCCAGACAUAUACUGUCUAGUUAUAUUUAAAAAUCUAAAACAAUGUAAAAUAUUGGCAUAUAGUAUAGUUUCCUUAUUUUUUCCUUUUUGAUUAAAUCUAUUUUAGUUUUAACUUACUCCUACUUUUUUUUAAUAUGAUAAAUCCUAACCACCCACAUAAGACUCCUUUAUCCUCUAUCCCCCUAUGCUUCUUUCUUUCUGAAUUUAGAAGACUUUUAUACCUUAAUAAAUAUGUAUGUAUUCUUCCCCCUUGAACUCAUUUCCAAUGAAAGAUGCCUGAACUAGCAACCCUCCUCCCCAUCUAAUUCCUCUGUCAGUUUUUUCAUACCUUAUAAUUGUUCUACCCCAAUCUUUGUUUCAAAUUAUCCAAUUAUUAAUGUCUUAUAUAUAUGGUUUAUACAAAGACAUGUAUAAAAUAGAAAUAGUUUGUCCAUAUUGAGUGCCUUGUAAUUAGUCUUUGAUGUUUAUAUUUCUCUUGCAUCUUUUAUAUCAAAUUUUCUAUUAAGUUCAGGUCUUUUUGAAACAAAAUCCUGAAAGUCUAUCAAUUCAUUGAAUAUCUCAGAGAGGAUUGGCAAGACUUACAUGAACUGAUGUAAGUGAAAUGAGCAGAACCAGGAGAUGAUUAUAUACCUCAACAACGAUACUGUUUGAGGAUGUAUUCUGAUGGAAGUGGAUCUCUUCGAUAAAGAGAGCUAAUUCAGUUUCAAUUGAUCAAGGAUGGACAGAAGCAGCUACACCCAAAGAAAGAACACUGGGAAAUGAAUAUAAACUGCUUGCAUUUUUGUUUUUCUUCCCGGGUUAUUUAUACCUUCUGAAUCCAAUUCUCCCUGUGCAACAAGAGAACUGUUCGGUUGUAUUUAGGAUAUACUGUAACCUAUUUAACAUGUAAAGGACUGCUUGUCAUCUGGGGGAGGGGGUGAAGGGAAGGAGGAAAAAUUGGAACAGAAGUGAGUGCAAGAGAUAAUGCUAUAAAAAAUUACCCUGGCAUGGGUUCUGUCAAUAAAAAGUUAUUUAAAAAAAAAAAAAAAAAGUUCACAGACAAAAAAAAAAAAAUUCAUUGAAUAUCCUUUUAGUUUUUCAUUCAUGAUUGUCCUCGGCUUUUCUAGGUAUGAUAUUUCUGGCCACAACCCCAGUUCUUUUGUUCUUUGAUAUAUAGUGUUGAAGAUCUUUGGUCUUUUAAAGAAGCCACUGCUAGGUUUCAUGGAAUUCUAAUUGUGGCUCUGCCACAUUUGCAUUUUUUUCCUUCUUGUUGCUUGUAAUAUUUCCUCUAUGAUCUGGGGGUUUUAGAAUUUGCUUUGAUGUUCCUGUAGGUUUUAUCUGUAGGACCUCUUUCAGGUGGUAAAUCGGUGAAUUUUUAAAAUCUAUACUUUCCCCCUCUUGUUCUAACACUUCAGCACAAUUUUCUUUGAUUAUGUCUUAUAUUAUUAUAUCAAGAUCAAGACUGACGAUACGAUGAAAAAACUCUUUUUUUGAACAUAGCUUUCAGCCAGUCCAAUUAUUUUUGUUUUCUCUUUUUGAUCUCUUCUCCAGAUAAAACUUUUUUCUUAUGUUUCCUGAUCUUUUUUUUUUAAUUUUUUAUCUUUUGCUUUAUUAAUUCUUGGUCUCUUAGACCACUGUUGGCCUCUUCUUGCCUAAAUCUAGUUUUCAAAGAGUCAUUUUUUUUCCCCUUAAGACUCUGGAUCUCCUGCUGAGUGAAAUGAGCAGAACCAGGAGAUCAUUAUAUACCUCAACAACGAUACUGUUUGAGGAUGUAUUCUGAUGGAAGUGGACCUCUUUGAUAAAGAGAGCCUUAAUUGAUCAAAGAUGGACAGAAGCAGCUACACUCAGAGAAAGAACACUGGGAAAUGAAUAUAAACUGCUUGCAUUUUUGUUUUUCUUCCCGGGUUAUUUAUACCUUCUGAAUUCAAUUCUCCCUAUGCAACAAGAAAACUGUUCGGUUCUGCACACAUAUAUUGUAUCUAGGAUAUACUGCAACCCAUUCAACAUGUAAAUGACUCUUGCCAUCUGGGGGAAGGGGUGGAGGGAGGGAGGGGAAAAAUCGGAACAGAAGUGAAUGCAAGGGAUAAUGCUGUAAAAAAUUACCCUGGUAUGCGUUCUAUCAAUAAAAAGUUAUUAAAAAAAUAAAUUAAAAAAAAAAAAAAGACUCUGGAUCGCCAAAGCUUUUUAAAUUCUGGUUCACAACCAUAUAUAUAGGGAUGUGUAACUGAAUGUGGAGGGUCAUAAAAAUUUGGCACCAGUAAAAAAGAUCAAAUAUUCCACCAAGAUUUAAUUCACUAUGUUACAAUAAACAAGCAUAUUCAUAACAAUAUAAACAUCUACUUUUUAUCUUUAAUAAAUGGUAAAAUUAUGUGUAUACCAAAGAAUUGUUAUAAAAUAAAUUUUUGAUUUAUUAUUUAAAAAAAAAUUCUGGAGCUCCUUUCAAGUUGAUUGACUUUUCAUAAUCUGCUUAUUUUUCUUGGCUUGUUAUUUUUUCCCCCUUUAUCUCUCUUAUUUGAUUUUUUAAAAGGAGUUCUAUCAAUUCUUUUUAGGCAGGUGACCAGUUGAUGUUGCACUUUGAGGUAGGAGAGGCUUUUUUUGCUUCAGUAUUUUUCUCUGAAGAUGAACUUGAUCUUCUCUAUUCCUAUAGCAAUUUCCUAUGGUUGGGUUCUUUUUUUCUUUCUUCUUCCUUCCUUUCUCCCCUCUUUUCUAUUGUUUUCUUUUUUUUCUGGUUGUACAUGUACAUGAAGUUUUUUAAAUAUGCACUGCUCUAUGGAUCAUGUUGGGAAAGAAAAAUCAGAACAAAAGGGAAAAACCACAAGAGAAAAAAAAAAAAAAACAGAAGAAAAAGAAAAAAAAAGAACAUAGCAUGUGCUGAUUUACAUUCAAGUCUCCUUAGUUCUCCCUAGAUACAGAUGGCAUUCUCUAUCCAAAAAAUAGGAAUUGCCUUGGAUCAUUGAACCUCUGAGAAGAACCAACUCCCUUCACAGCUGAUCAUCUCACAAUCUUGCUGUUACUGAGUACGAUGUAUUCCUGGUUCUGCUUGUUCCACUCAGCAUCAGUUUGUGUACAUCUUUCCAGGCCUUUCUAAAAUCAGCUUACUCAUCAAUUUUUAUAGAACAAUGAUAUUCCGCUGCUUUCAUAUACCAUAAUUUAUUCAGCCAUUUGUCUGUUUAUUAAAAAAAAAGUAUAGCCUCUUGUUAGCAUGAUCACCUCUAAUACGAGGGUGUGGGGGAUAAGUUUCUUUGGCCUCUGGUCCUCCCCUUCAGCUCUCCCCUCUGGCCUGGAACUGAAAUCAAGAACUCUCCUCUUCUAUAAGUGCUGACAGCCAGCCCUAACCCCACUGCUUCUGCACUCACCAGGCGAAUGCUGAUUCCUUCUCACCAAAGACCAUAUUUUGGCAACACAGCUAGACUUGGCAUCCUCUAUCAGUUAAAGUUCCCUCGGUCUUCCCUGACUCAGAUGCCUGACUCCACAUUAUCUCCAAGGUGAAAAUUCCUGUUGCUGGGACCAAGGCUACCUCUCAAACUAGCUAGCCCCAGGGUUUGCAGCUUGCUGUUCCAGCAGAACCAGCCUGGAACAAACCACAUCCUGGCAUUUUUCUUCAGAUAUUCUCUAUUUUUCCAGGAGGACCCCUGUUCUGCCUCAAUUUUUCUUUCUUUCUUUCUUUUUUUUUUUAUAGCUCUAUGUUCUUUUUACUUACUCUCUUUUUAAAUUUCCCAUAAUCUGGUUUCCAAUCUCAUCAGUCAACCAAAAUCAUGCUCUAUAAAGUUAUCAGUGCUCUCUUAAUUGUCAAAUCUAAAAGUCUUUUUCCAAUCUUCCUCCUCCUUAACUUCUCUAAAGCCUUUGACAUGGUUAAUCACCCUUUUCUGCUUGAUAUUCUUUGUCUCUAUGUAUUUAUGACACCACUCUCUUCUUAAUCAGUCUUUUUAAAUUUCUUCUUAGUCAGUCCUUCUCCAAUCACUUCUUCUCAGUUCCCCUUGCCAGAUCAUUGUCUAGAUCAUAUUAGGCUCUCUUUUCUUCUAUAAUUUCAAUUGUCACCUCUAUGUUGAUGAUUCUUUGACCUAGUUAUCUAGCCCAAACCUCCAGAUGCACGCCUGAAAUUAGAUGUCCUGUAGACAUCUUAAACAUGUUGAAAACUGAACUCUUUCUGUCAAAACCAUCUUCUCUUCUGAAUUUCCCUAUAUUCUAGAAGUUACCACCAACCUCCCACUCAUCUAAGCUUCAAACCUAGAUGUUAUCCUUGACUUCUCUCUCUCAUCCCCCAUACCCAACUUGUUGACAAGUUUAGCUGAUGUUAUUAUAUACUUAUUAUAUACAAUGAAAUUAUUAGGAAAAUAUCCUGAACAUAUUAUUUAAAAAAGAGAGGAGAGCUAUAAUAUGUAGAAGAAAUUCCAUAGCAUCAAUGUUACUGAAAAUAACAAAACAAAAACUCAAAUUAAAAACAAUUUUCAAUAAAAGGAGGAUGGUUUAUUAAACUAUUUAAAUUAAUGCAAUGGAAUACUGUAAUGCAAAUUGGGCCAAAAAAGGCUGAUGUAUAUCAGGAUAUCUGGUAAGUUCUAUGUAAAAAUAAUGCAAAGUAAAAGAACCAGAAAGAUUGAAUAGACACUUAUUAGAAGGAAAACUGAAUAAGAAUGAAUAGGAUUCUGAAGAGGAUUUAGAGGUAGUGAUUGAAAAACCACCAUGAUUCUUCUUGUUUGUUUAUAAAUAACUCAUCACCAAAUAUAUGUAUAUAUAAAAUAGUGCUUUACAAAUAUCUAAAAAUAAUCUACAUAAUUCCAGGUUUUUAGUUAACUCCUCAUCAAACUUUUAUACAUAUAUAUGAAAUAGCACUUUAUAAAUAUCUGAAAAUAGUCUACAUAAUCCCAGGUUUUUAGUUAAAUAAAAAGGGUGAUAAAAGUCUAGAAUCUUCACAUUUUAGAGAAGUUUCCCAAAGGUCAACAUUAGUUUUCUUAAAAUUUGGACCCAGAAUCAAACACAAAAGUCCAGAUAUAAUCUGACUACCUUAGAAACAAAAAAUACUAUGACUCUUCAUUACCUCAGGUACCAAAUUCCAAUUCAUCUUUUACAUCAUGGUCUUUGCAAUAUAUUAAAAAAAAAAAUCCUUAUAUCUUAUUUUGAUUCAUAAAUCCCUGCUCAAAAACCUCCAAUGUCUCAUAAUUCCAAUGCCAGGUAAAAUACAAAUACCUGUAUAUGGCAUCCAAGGACUUCUAAAAUGUGGCUUUAAACUACCUUUUCAGAAUUACUUCUCAUGACUCCUGUAAAUGUACAUGGACUCCUAUCCAUUCCAGCAUAAUUGAAAUAGGCAUUGCCCUCUGUUCUCAUUAACUUUUACUGCCCUCUUGUGUUUGUUUACAUAUUCAGUUUACAUCCUGCUACAAAUGGACACACCUUCCAGCCCAUUCUUCACCUUUUAGGAGAUCCAAUACAGAUGUUGUCUUUUUUAUGAAAACUUCCUUGAUUCUUUUAAUAACAAGUGAUCUCUUAUUCCCUGUAAUUCUCAUAACUUGCCUGAGUUUUUUCAAUUUAAAACAUCUGCUCUUGCUACUUCCCUUAUCUAUUAAGUUAUAAGUUUCUUCAGAAAUAAGGACAAAACUUAUUUAUCUGUGUAAGCCCAAGGCCUACUGUCUUGGUGCUUAAUGUUUGUUGAACUGAAUUGAACUGUAAUCUAAAUUCACAAUGGAUUUUUGCCAGUCAGCACAGUACUAUUU